CAGCAGCCGCGGUAAUACGUAGGGGUCAAGCGUUGUCCGGAUUCAUUGGGCGUAAAGAGCUCGUAGGCGGCUCAGUAAGUCGGUCGUGAAAGCCCGGGGCUCAACCCCGGGACGCCGAUCGAAACUGCUGUGGCUAGGGUUCGGUAGAGGAGAGUGGAAUUCCCGGUGUAGCGGUGAAAUACGCAGAUAUCGGGAGGAACACCAGUAGCGAAGGCGGCUCUCUGGGCCGACACCGACGCUGAGGAGCGAAAGCUAGGGGAGCAAACAGGAUUAGAUACCCUGGUAGUCCUAGCCGUAAACGUUGGGCACUAGGUGUGGCGGACUCAUUGACGUCUGCCGUGCCGCAGCUAACGCAUUAAGUGCCCCGCCUGGGGAGUACGGUCGCAAGGCUAAAACUCAAAGGAAUUGACGGGGGCCCGCACAAGCGGCGGAGCAUGCGGCUUAAUUCGAUGCAACCCGAAGAACCUUACCUAGGCUUGACAUCACGGGAAAAGCUGUGGAAACACAGUGUGCGUAAGCGUCCGUGACAGGUGGUGCAUGGCCGUCGUCAGCUCGUGUCGUGAGAUGUUGGGUUAAGUCCCGCAACGAACGCAACCCUUGUCCUAUGUUGCCAGCGGAUAAUGCCGGGGACUCAUAGGAGACUGCCGGGGACAACUCGGAGGAAGGCGGGGACGACGUCAGGUCAUCAUGCCCCUUACGCCUAGGGCUGCACGCAUGCUACAAUGGCAGGUACAAUGGGCUGCGAUCCCGCGAGGGUGAGCCAAUCCCUUAAAGCCUGUCUCAGUUCGGAUUGGAGUCUGCAACUCGACUCCAUGAAGCCGGAGUCGCUAGUAAUCGUGGAUCAGCAAUGCCACGGUGAAUACGUUCUCGGACCUUGUACACACCGCCCGUCACAUCACGAAAGUCGGCAACACCCGAAGUCAGUGGCCUAACCCUUUUGGGAGGGAGCUGCCGAAGGUGGGGUCGGCGAUUGGGAUGAAGUCGUAACAAGGUAACCGUA
rnacentral:rRNA from 1 species